AUCACCGCAAACUAAAAUAAAUCGCCGAUCCUGAAAACAAAACUCGCACAAAAUUUAAUUAUUCGCGGUUUUAAAGGUACAACUGAAUUUUGUUCCAACAAUUUCUAUAGCUAAGGCUCCCAGUGCUCUGAAAGCUUGUUCCUAUUUACUAAUACUUUUCCAAUCUGAAUAGAAUUCUUUUUAUGUGUCUUCCAGCCACGUCCUGUCAAGAUGGUAACACAUCCUGCUCUUCCUGGAAAAAUAUGUGCUCUAUAAGCAGUUUCAUUCGAGAAACAUGCUCCAAGACUUGUGGUUCAUGCAAAGUUUGAAAGAAUUCGGAAAUUUUCUGCAAAGCCACCUUAUUGACUACUCUGACGCUGAAAUUACAUUAAGAAAGAUAACUGGCCCUCUAUCACGAGCGCCCUCAAGAAAUUGAAAAGAUCUUUUAUUUUAAAUCAAGAAUAUCCUUAUUUCACUUUGUCCACAAAGUCUUUUUUCUGAAUUUAAGUUUACAAACUUUCAUGUUUUUUUGUUAGGUUUCCUCUUCAUUAAUUUGUCCCCUGAAAUUAUUGAUUAAUAGGAUUUAAUAUAUUUACAAAAAGUUGUAAAGUAAAACAAGAAAGAAAAUCAAAAUAAAAGGCCCUAUGAUAUAAAAUGGUUAUCAUUCCUUCGUAGAAAAACUAUCGUUUAUACAAAACCAGAAGUGAUUUACGAAGUAAGUCACAUUUAUUCAUUGCUUGAAAAUUUUAAUAAAGCGGUUGAUUGCUUAUUUACAGUG